UAGCAUAUCAAUAAGCGGAGGAAAAGAAACUAACAAGGAUUCCCCUAGUAGCGGCGAGCGAAGCGGGAAAAGCUCAAAUUUGUAAUCUGGCGUCUUCGACGUCCGAGUUGUAAUCUCGAGAAGUGUUUUCCGUGAUAGACCGCAUACAAGUCUCUUGGAACAGAGCGUCAUAGUGGUGAGAACCCAGUACACGAUGCGGAUGCCUAUUACUUUGUGAUACACUUUCGAAGAGUCGAGUUGUUUGGGAAUGCAGCUCAAAUUGGGUGGUAAAUUCCAUCUAAAGCUAAAUAUUGGCGAGAGACCGAUAGCGAACAAGUACCGUGAGGGAAAGAUGAAAAGCACUUUGGAAAGAGAGUUAACAGUACGUGAAAUUGUUGGAAGGGAAACACAUGCAGUGAUACUUGCUAUUCGGGGCAACUCGAUUGGCAGGCCCGCAUCAGUUUUUCGGGGCGGAAAAGCGUAGAGAGAAGGUAGCAAUUUCGGUUGUGUUAUAGCUCUUUACUGGAUUCGCCCUGGGGGACUGAGGAACGCAGCGUGCUUUUAGCAAUUCCUUCGGGAAUUCCACGCUUAGGAUGCGGGUUUAUGGCUGUAUAUGACCCGUCUUGAAACACGGACCAAGGAGUCUAACAUGCUUGCGAGUAUUUGGGUGUCAAACCCGGAUGCGCAAUGAAAGUGAAUGGAGGUGGGAAGCGCAAGCUGCACCAUCGACCGAUCUGGAUUUUUUAAGAUGGAUUUGAGUAAGAGCAAGUAUGUUGGGACCCGAAAGAUGGUGAACUAUGCCUGAAUAGGGCGAAGCCAGAGGAAACUCUGGUGGAGGCUCGUAGCGGUUCUGACGUGCAAAUCGAUCGUCAAAUUUGGGUAUAGGGGCGAAAGACUAAUCGAACCAUCUAGUAGCUGGUUCCUGCG
rnacentral:rRNA from 1 species